rnacentral:tRNA from 1 species
GCUUGGCUGGCUCAGUUGGUAGAGCAUGUAACUCUUGAUCACAGGGUCAUGGAUUUGAACCCCAUGUUGGGGG